rnacentral:lncRNA from 1 species
CACUACCUCAAACCAAAUUCAAUACGUGGGCCCCAACUCUCUCCCACUUAUCAACCUUCUCCCAAGUUUCGAACCACUCGGAACCCUAAUUUCUCACUCUUCACACACACACACACACGCAUAUAUACACACACACACACCACAACCCUCACACCUCACACAGCAAAUCUCCCACACGUAACCUAAGUCCAAUCAAAGAUUCUCUCUUGUUGACGUUUUUUGCCUCACUUCUAGAAGACCCAUCCAGGUCUUCUUUGCAGCUACCAAACCCAGCCAAAGUCUUCUGCAGCUGCUUGGCAAAAGUCUCAAAUAGACAACCCCUAAGUCUCUUUACUGCUAAAGCUCUAAUCCUACAGGCUAUAACAGAGGGAAAGGAGAGGCUGAUAAAGGGAGCAGAAAUUGAGAAGAAACAUUGGAGAGAUCAGUGGGAGAAGUUGAGAGAAAUCUCAUUUUGUAUUUGUUUUGUUUCUCUCCAUAUAAUGAAAUUGCUGCCACCCGAGGCGUAGGCAACAUUGCCGAACCUCGUAAAUAUUGUGUGUUUGUGCUUUGUGUGUGAUCAGUGUUUGUUUUUUUUUCGCACACAAUUGGUAUCAGAGGCCAAAAUCGUCGUUUCGGACCUCUGUAAAGUGGUCGAAAUUGAUUUCUGAUCGCAACCAUCUUGUUCGUCUCCUCGAGACGGAGCUCCAGCAAUCAAACCGCGUCAAACGGACGCCGGAGCAUCCCACCCUGCCGAAAACUUUGACCCCUGUUUUUCUCGCUCUUCGCAACAAUCCCUGGAAGAAGAAUAUGUCAGUCGGUAAAUUAAACAGUUUCAUCAACCCUCUGAAGUUUCUAUUAUUACAUAUUUUAAUCCCUAAAGUUUUAAUAAUUACAGUUUGGUCCCUGUAAUUUUUGAUAUUAUUUAGAGUCCUAAAGUUUCAAAAAUUAACAGUUUUGGGGUCCCUGUGAUUUUGAAAAUUCCAGAUUGUUCCCCAAGGAGUUCUAAUUUUUGACAAUUGGCCGCAUAAGUUUCUGAUUUUGACAAUUGGCCCCAAAAGCUUUUGAUUUUUCGUUAAGUCUUCUUAAGUUUUUCCAGCAUUCCCGUACUCUCCGUUUGUCAAAAUUUGCAUAUUUUGAUCCCAUAUAUCAGUUGGGUGAUUAAGUGUUAUUUAGAUGGAAGAAGAUAAAAUCACUAGCAUAAGCUAGCACUUCCGGUAGCUCUGGCAUAGGACUAAACAAUGUCCAAUGCCAAAUUUGAGUUGAAAAAUUUGAUGUACAAUAAUUGGCAGUGUGUGGUCAAUGCGAAGUUUUGGAUGUCCUAAUUCAACAGGACUUGGAGUUACUCUGAGGCGAAGGCUAGAGGACAUGUCAGCAAAGGAUUGGGUGAAAUUGAAUCGCCAAGCUUGCGGUACAAUCAGACUUUGUCUUGCAAAAGACCAGAAGUAGCUUUGUUAUGAAAUAACCACAGCAAGGGAGUUGGAACAACUUGAACAAGUAACACUACUAAGAGCAUGAGAAUGAGGCUCUAUCUGAAGAAGAAACUCUUCCGGUUCCAAUUCAAGCAAGGUACGUCAAUGCAUGAACAUUGAAUCCUUUUAAUAAAAUUGUUGGCAGAUUUGCAAAAUUUAGACGAGAAAUUGACGAUGAAGAUAAAGCUCCUUUUAUUGUUAAAUUCCUUACCUGAUACGUAUGAGCAUUUGACUACUACUCUUUGCUGUAUGUAAAGAUGAAUUAAGUUAACGAUGUUUCAAUGCUUUGAUGAACAACGAGGUGAGAAAGAAGGAUCAAUGACGCCUCACCGGGAAUCAAGUCAAUGCAUUGACAAGCAAGAGGUAGGACGAGUACCGCGAAAAUCUGAAGGGGGAUGGAAGUCUCGCUCAAAUCAAGGGGAAAAUCAUCCGAGAUGACGUCCAGCUUGCAAAGAUGAGUGUGCAUAUUUGUUAUCAACGCCAACUGAGAAAGAUUUGCCCAAGAUUAAGCAAGAACCAAAGGCGAACAUAGCCCAUGAGCGCCGAGAAAGAUGACACUUGCAUUUACUGUUUCUUCUUCUUUGUCUGCUAGCCAUUCUGACGAAUGGAAUUCUUGAUUCUGGUGUUCCUAUCAUAUUGUCCCCACAGGGAAUUGGUUCUCGAGCUUUUGAAGAGCUCGUGGAGGAGUUGUUCUAAUGGAAAGGACAACGCCUGCAAAACAUGGGAAUUGGCCAUAAAACAAUCCAUUGAAUAUGUUCGUGGAACCGUCAAGUUCUACUAUGUUCGCUAUGUAACCUGAUUUAAAGAAAAAUCCUCAUUUCAUUGGGAGAUUUUGAUUCGAAAGGGUACAAAUUAUCUUGGAAGUGGAGUUCUGAAAGUUUUUUCGUGGUGCUCUUGUUGUUCUGAAGGGCAUCUCAUAGAGGGAAUCUCACUUCCUUGAUGGGAGUACUGUCACUGGGAGAGUUGCUAUCUCCAACAGUUCCGACGAAUCAGACACUUCCAAUUAUGGCAUAUGCGAUUGGGGCAUACUGGAAAAAAUCUUUGCAAACUUU